CCCUUAGAUGUUCUGGGCCGCACGCGCGCUACACUGAUUCAUGCAACAAGUUUUGUCCUUGGCUGAUAGGCCUGGGUAAUCUUUGAACGUGAAUCGUGAUGGGGAUAGAUGAUUGCAAUUAUUCAUCUUCAACGAGGAAUUCCUAGUAAACGCAAGUCAUCAGCUUGCAUUGAUUACGUCCCUGCCCUUUGCACACACCGCCCGUCGCACCUACCGAUUGAAUGGUCCGGUGAAAUCUUCGGAUCUGAGAGAUGUCUGAUUAAUUUCGGACGCCUUUUGGAAAAGUUGUUUAAACCUUACCAUUUAGAGGAAGGUGAAGUCGUAACA
rnacentral:rRNA from 1 species